UUGGAGGGCAAGUCUGGUGCCAGCAGCCGCGGUAAUUCCAGCUCCAAUAGCGUAUAUUAAAGUUGUUGCAGUUAAAAAGCUCGUAGUUGAAUUUCGGGGUUAGUAGGUUGGUCAUGCCUCUGGUAUGUACUGGUCUCACUGAUUCCUCCUUCCUGAUGAGCCGUAAUGCCAUUAAUUUGGUGUUGCGGGGAAUUUGGACUGUUACUUUGAAAAAAUUAGAGUGUUUAAAGCAAGCUAACGCUUGAAUACAUUAGCAUGGAAUAAUGAAAUAGGACGUUCGAUCCUAUUUUGUUGGUUUCUAGAAUUGACGUAAUGAUUAAUAGGGAUAGUUGGGGGCAUUAGUAUUCAAUUGUCAGAGGUGAAAUUCUUGGAUUUAUUGAAGACUAACUACUGCGAAAGCAUUUGCCAAGGAUGUUUUCAUUAAUCAAGAACGAAAGUUAGGGGAUCGAAGACGAUCAGAUACCGUCGUAGUCUUAACCAUAAACUAUGCCGACUAGGGAUCGGAUGAUGUUAAUUUUUUAAUGACUCAUUCGGCGCCUUACGGGAAAC
rnacentral:rRNA from 1 species